UACGUAGGGACCAAGCGUUGUUCGGAUUUACUGGGCGUAAAGGGCGCGUAGGCGGCAAUUCAAGUCAUCUGUGAAAUCUCCGGGCUUAACUCGGAAUGGUCAGGUGAUAUCUGCUUUGCUAGAGUGCAGAAGGGGCAAUCGGAAUUCUUGGUGUAGCGGUGAAAUGCGUAGAUAUCAAGAGGAACACCUGAGGUGAAGACGGGUGCUGGGCUGACACUGACGCUGAGGCGCGAAAAGCGUAGGGGGAGCAAAACGGG
rnacentral:rRNA from 1 species